GCAGGUGUAGUUCAGUGGUAGAACACCACCUUGCCAAGGUGGCUAUGCGAGUUCGAUUCUCGUCACCUGCUCCA
rnacentral:tRNA from 1 species